CCGUGGCCACAGGCGACGACGGGUAGCCGGCCUGAGAGGGUGACCGGCCACACUGGGACUGAGACACGGCCCAGACUCCUACGGGAGGCAGCAGUGGGGAAUAUUGCGCAAUGGGCGAAAGCCUGAUGCAGCGACGCCGCGUGAGGGAUGACGGCCUUCGGGUUGUAAACCUCUUUCAGCAGGGACGAAGCGAAAGUGACGGUACCUGCAAAAGAAGCGCCGGCUAACUACGUGCACC
rnacentral:rRNA from 1 species